UACGGGGGGGGCAAGCGUUGUUCGGAAUUACUGGGCGUAAAGGGCUCGUAGGUGGCCAACUAAGUCAGACGUGAAAUCCCUCGGCUUAACCGGGGAACUGCGUCUGAUACUGGAUGGCUUGAGUUUGGGAGAGGGAUGCGGAAUUCCAGGUGUAGCGGUGAAAUGCGUAGAUAUCUGGAGGAACACCCGUGGCUAAGGCGGCUCUCUAGUACGGUACUGACGCUGAGACGCGAAAGCGUGGGGAGCGAACAGG
rnacentral:rRNA from 1 species